rnacentral:rRNA from 1 species
AACCCUUAUCUUUAGUUACCAUCAUUCAGUUGGGGACUCUAAAGAUACUGCCCCGGUCAACGGGGAGGAAGGUGGGAUGACGUCAAGUCCUCAUGGCCCUUAUGUCCAGGGCUACACACGUGCUACAAUGGGCAGUACAAAGGGUAGCAAGCCUGCGAAGGUGAGCCAAUCUCAAAAAGCUGUUCGUAGUUCGGAUUGGAGUCUGCAACUCGACUCCAUGAAGCUGGAAUCGCUAGUAAUCGCGGAUCAGCAUGCCGCGGUGAAUACGUUCCCGGGCCUU